rnacentral:miRNA from 1 species
CCCAGAAGCCAGAACAGCAAGAGGGAUUGCUGCUUUCACUGUAUAGCAAUCCCUCUUGCUGUUCUGGCUUCGGA